GCUCUCGUUGAUUAAAUGGUAAAUUGCUCACUCCACUAAACGCUUGGGGUCAGCAGAUCGUGAGAGAUGGAGGUUCAAAUCCUCCCGAAAGCA